rnacentral:rRNA from 1 species
UAGUAGUAGUUAUGUUCUUGAAAAUUAAAAAAGUUGGCGGUAUUUUAGUCUAUUUAGAGGAACCUGUUCUGUAAUCGAUAAUCCACGAUUUGAUUUACUUAUUGUUUUAGUUUGCAUAUCGCCGUAGGUUGAAUAUUUUUAAAGAAUUAGAAAUAUUCAAUAAGUUUAUAAGAAAAAAAUUCAGGUCAAGAUGUAGCGUAUAAAUAAGAAGAGAUGGGUUACAAUAAAAAUAUUUAUGAUGAAUUAAUAAAUUUAAUUUUAUAAUGAAGGUGGAUUUAAAGGUAA